CAGAGAGGAAGAGGAGGAGGACAUGGCCUGUCAUUUUAAAUAGUGUACAAUUUCUCAUCCUAUUCAACACUGGAUGCUCUUCAGUGACUUCAGGGUUGUGGACAUUAAAGAAUUCAUCAAUUUCGUGUGCAUAAUAUGUGUAAUAAUACGCUAUGCUGCAAACUGAUAUUGCAGUGAUCCUCUCAUUAUUACAACAGUUGAAAAGUGCAGUGAAAUGUAAAAAGGUAACAGAAUGGGAAGUGUGCCCUCCAAUUUACAACCUUCACUUUUCACUGUUUCACAGUAUUCAUACAAACAUUAAGUACCUAAAUGCAUGCUGUUACAUAUUCAGUUGUAUAACGAAAUUAUUUUGAAUGUAGACAGUUGAUGUGAAAUGAUAUUAGAUCAUCUGUACUUGAACGUUCUGCACUCUGUGAAAUGAUGGAUGUUUGGUUGACAGCAGUUGCAUAUUGCUUUUAAAGGAAGUAAAGGAAGAAAAAAAAGCACAUGCAAAGAGACCCACAUGCUGAAUAAAAUGAUGGCUACAAUCACCUGAAAUCUCCACAUCCUAUUUAUGCCACAAUAGCAUGAUUAUAGUUUUGAAAUAAUGCGAUAAUAUCUGUGUGUGUGAGACGCAAUUGUGAAAAGACGAUGAAGACAGUUGACAACUGCUUCCUCUAGCUGUUAAAUUAUAGCUGUUUAAAUGUGAACGUUUUAUCAACCACUGUUACAACCUAAGCGUGGAGCAUUAAACUGAUAUUUUAGAAAGCUUUUCAGUAUCUAUCAUAAUCUAUUAUACAUAAUAAUAAAGUAUUUAUCCAAAUAGUAAAAAGUUGUUUCCAGCAUUAGUUUUGCAGACUGUUCAUCAUCAUAAAUCAAUAAUAAGAUGUACAAGCAUUAUUUAUAUUGCCAAAUUGGACAAAUUUCUUUUUGUGGGAAUGUGAUUCAUUAAAACUUUCACCUACAGAUCAGCUUUCAGAUCAUAUUUCUCCACUUUACCUUCUGAAGUCUCACAGUAAGAGCGAGGUUAGGAGGCAAGGAGGUGCUUUUUUGGUGUAAAGGCUGCAGAAUGGGUGCUGUUCUUGAUUCAAAUGGCAUUAAAAAAUAAAUUCAGAUCAAUAUUUGUUUUAUAAUAUUGUUAAGAUCAAUAAAUGUACCCAUUUUUUUUUUUAUAAGUCUCCGUCUAACGAUUAUUGUGUAUAAUCUAUUGUAAUAGGAAAAAACAAUAAUAAAGGAAAGAAAGAAACCAGUUUAAGAAAGGAAUGGGAUAGAAAAUCAAAAGCAGAGGACAUUUAUUGAAGAACAGACAAAAGUGCAAGAGGCAUCAAUUAUACAUCCAUCAUCAUCCCCCCGACCCAAACAAGGAAAUCACAUGCGGACUUUACAGCAUUUGUUUCUCAUUCUCUUUGACUCUGAGACACAAAUACAUUUCUCUUAAGAAACUGUCUAUAAAAUCCAGUGAAAACAACAACUGCCCUGCAGUGCACUUUAUACAACAUGACCAGCAUUAUUAAAGUUAUCAAUAAAGUCCUUGCCCCAGAAAUCCACAGACAACGAAAUGAAGCCAGCUCCAAUCAUAAAAGAAAGACUGAUGCAAAAACAAGCCUGAAACAAGAUCAAGAACACCAUGAGUCCCAUAGAAAAAAAACAUUUAAAUGUGCUUGGUUCCUGGUUCAGACAGUCAGGAUUAUGGUAGAUAAAAAGAAAAGAGAAACAAAGAGAAAGAGAGAGAGAGAGAGAGAGAGAGAGAGAGUGAGGCUGAGGUGAUUGGCUGAGUGGCUGUUAUUGUUUCUGUGCAAUGUAAAUUCUGUGCAAUACCAGCAGAUAUGUCAAACUAGUGCUGAGGCAACAGCCAGCUCAGUUCAUAAGGACCCUUUAAAAAACAACGGAAAAACACUGAAUAUAAUAAAAAGGUUACACGCAUUAAAAAAGUGACAAUAUAAGAACACAAGGCUUUUCAUUUCAGUUAAAUGUACACUCAAGUUUGAGUGCAGCAUGAGCACAAUUGUACAAAUGAUCACACAGUCUGAUCAGUUUGACUGAUACACAAGAGCAACUUCUGAACACUCCAUAGGGAAAAAGCAUGCAGUUCCAGCAAAACGUCUUUAAGUAAUCUUUUACAUAGGUGACAACAUCAUCUUGGGGAAAAGAAACCAAAAUCGAAAUUGACUUUAUGGUCUCUAAAGUGACCACAGAGAAACACAUGAAGUGGCAGAAAACAAACUAAGAAGAACUAAAGCACAGGGAUGUGAUGAAAAAUCUGGAGGAGGAGAAGGAGGAAGAGGAAGAGGAGGAGGAGAAGGAAUGUGUCUCCUGCUUUUAGGAAGCACUGAAACGUCUCUUCUGUUCGCUUAAUGGCUCCAGCAGCUCAGAGCGCAGACGGGCCCGAAGCAGGCUGUACACAGAGAGGGAGAGGAAAGGAAGGAGGACAGAACUGAGAGAUACAUUACAGUGAUAGAAGGGUAAAGGAAAAUGAAAUAUGGCUUGCGAGGAAUAUACAGCAGUCUCAGUGCUGAAGCAUACACAAAAUCUAUCCCUUCUGCAGGUUUUAGAACUUCAUGUUGUGGAGUCGGACGAGUCCUGACAGGUUCCUUGACACAAACAAGCCAUGGCUCCAUCUCACGAGGCAUGGGACGGGCCUGCAGAUGUUCCCGGACAAGCUGCAUCUUGUCACUAUUCGCUGGAACACUCACUUCUUUGAGAGCUUUUACUCACCCCCUCCUAAUCCCCCCACUUUUUUUCCCUCCACCUUUACUCCUCCUCUGUCUUUUCCUCCGGCGCAAUUCAGCAUGAAGUCAGAGAACUUAAUUCAUGGAGAAGGGUGCAGUGAUUGGCCCUUGAGCACGAUAGGGUUCAGAAAGGAGGCACAGAGUAUUUACACAAGUAUUAUAAAUCCAUUCUCCUAAUCUCCCAUCAUUUGGCUGUGAUUACCAAUGAUGCUUGCAGUGGGGUCCAUUAAAAUCACAGCAUGCCCACUACUGUGUUCAUGGCAGAUGCGCUAAAAUGCAAAUAAAGCUGAUGGUUCGCCACACAAA